rnacentral:rRNA from 1 species
AUUGUAGUCUGCAACUCGACUACAUGAAGCUGGAAUCGCUAGUAAUCGCGAAUCAGAAUGUCGCGGUGAAUACGUUCCCGGGUCUUGUACACACCGCCCGUCACACCAUGGGAGUCAGUAACGCCCGAAGCCGGUGACCUAACCGAAAGGGAGGAGCCCGUCGGAAGGUGGGACCGAUAACUGGGGUGAAGUCGUAACAAGGUAGC